rnacentral:tRNA from 1 species
GCCGGUCUACGCGAUCCGGGCCGCGUUGCCGCUGAUGCCGGCAACCGGCUCGAUCGUGCUGACCGGCGGGCA